rnacentral:rRNA from 1 species
UACGGGGGGGGCAAGCGUUGUUCGGAAUUACUGGGCGUAAAGGGUUCGUAGGUGGCUCGCUAAGUCAGACGUGAAAUCCCUCAGCUUAACUGGGGAACUGCGUCUGAUACUGGAUGGCUUGGAUUCGGGAGAGGAAUGCGGAAUUCCAGGUGUAGCGGUGAAAUGCGUAGAUAUCUGGAGGAACACCGGUGGCGAAGGCGGCAUUCUGGACCGACAUUGACGCUGAGGAGCGAAAGCCAGGGGAGCAAACGGG